GGUUAAGCGACUAAGCGUACACGGUGGAUGCCCUGGCAGUCAGAGGCGAUGAAGGACGUGCUAAUCUGCGAUAAGCGUCGGUAAGGUGAUAUGAACCGUUAUAACCGGCGAUUUCCGAAUGGGGAAACCCAGUGUGUUUCGACACACUAUCAUUAACUGAAUCCAUAGGUUAAUGAGGCGAACCGGGGGAACUGAAACAUCUAAGUACCCCGAGGAAAAGAAAUCAACCGAGAUUCCCCCAGUAGCGGCGAGCGAACGGGGAGCAGCCCAGAGCCUGAAUCAGUGUGUGUGUUAGUGGAAGCGUCUGGAAAGGCGCGCGAUACAGGGUGACAGCCCCGUACACAAAAAUGCACAUGCUGUGAGCUCGAUGAGUAGGGCGGGACACGUGGUAUCCUGUCUGAAUAUGGGGGGACCAUCCUCCAAGGCUAAAUACUCCUGACUGACCGAUAGUGAACCAGUACCGUGAGGGAAAGGCGAAAAGAACCCCGGCGAGGGGAGUGAAAAAGAACCUGAAACCGUGUACGUACAAGCAGUGGGAGCACGCUUCGGCGUGUGACUGCGUACCUUUUGUAUAAUGGGUCAGCGACUUAUAUUCUGUAGCAAGGUUAACCGAAUAGGGGAGCCGAAGGGAAACCGAGUCUUAACUGGGCGUUAAGUUGCAGGGUAUAGACCCGAAACCCGGUGAUCUAGCCAUGGGCAGGUUGAAGGUUGGGUAACACUAACUGGAGGACCGAACCGACUAAUGUUGAAAAAUUAGCGGAUGACUUGUGGCUGGGGGUGAAAGGCCAAUCAAACCGGGAGAUAGCUGGUUCUCCCCGAAAGCUAUUUAGGUAGCGCCUCGUGAAUUCAUCUCCGGGGGUAGAGCACUGUUUCGGCAAGGGGGUCAUCCCGACUUACCAACCCGAUGCAAACUGCGAAUACCGGAGAAUGUUAUCACGGGAGACACACGGCGGGUGCUAACGUCCGUCGUGAAGAGGGAAACAACCCAGACCGCCAGCUAAGGUCCCAAAGUCAUGGUUAAGUGGGAAACGAUGUGGGAAGGCCCAGACAGCCAGGAUGUUGGCUUAGAAGCAGCCAUCAUUUAAAGAAAGCGUAAUAGCUCACUGGUCGAGUCGGCCUGCGCGGAAGAUGUAACGGGGCUAAACCAUGCACCGAAGCUGCGGCAGCGACGCUGAUGCGUUGUUGGGUA
rnacentral:rRNA from 1 species